rnacentral:rRNA from 1 species
GGCUAACUCCGUGCCAGCAGCCGCGGUAAUACGGAGGAUGCGAGCGUUAUCCGGAUUUAUUGGGUUUAAAGGGUGCGUAGGCGGCCUGUUAAGUCAGCGGUGAAAUCUAGGAGCUUAACUCCUAAAUUGCCAUUGAUACUGGCGGGCUUGAGUGUAGAUGAGGUAGGCGGAAUGCGUGGUGUAGCGGUGGAAUGCAUAGAUAUCACGCAGAACUCCGAUUGCGAAGGCAGCUUACUAAGGUACAACUGACGCUGAAGCACGAAAGCGUGGGUAUCAAACAGGAUUAGAUACCCUGGUAGUCCACGCAGUAAACGAUGAUAACUGGGCGUAUGCGAUAUACAGUAUGCUCCUAAGCGAAAGCGUUAAGUUAUCCACCUGGGGAGUACGCCGGCAACGGUGAAACUCAAAGGAAUUGACGGGGGCCCGCACAAGCGGAGGAACAUGUGGUUUAAUUCGAUGAUACGCGAGGAACCUUACCCGGGCUUGAAUUGCAGAGGAAGGAUUUAGAGAUAAUGACGCCCUUCGGGGUCUCUGUGAAGGUGCUGCAUGGUUGUCGUCAGCUCGUGCCGUGAGGUGUCGGCUUAAGUGCCAUAACGAGCGCAACCCCUGUCUACGGUUGCCAUCAGGUAAUGCUGGGAACUCCGUAGAGACUGCCGUCGUAAGGCGUGAGGAAGGUGGGGAUGACGUCAAAUCAGCACGGCCCUUACAUCCGGGGCGACACACGUGUUACAAUGGUAAGGACAAAGGGCAGCUACCUGGCGACAGGAUGCGAAUCUCUAAACCUUAUCACAGUUCGGAUCGGAGUCUGCAACUCGACUCCGUGAAGCUGGAUUCGCUAGUAAUCGCGCAUCAGCCAUGGCGCGGUGAAUACGUUCCCGGGCCUUGUACACACCGCCCGUCAAGCCAUGGGAGUCUGGAGUACCUAAAGUCCGUAACCGCAAGGGUCGGCCUAGGGUAAUACAGGUGACUGGGGCUAAGUCGUAACAAGGUAGCCGUACCGGAAGGUGCGGCUG